AAAUUGAAGAGUUUGAUCAUGGCUCAGAUUGAACGCUGGCGGCAGGCCUAACACAUGCAAGUCGAGCGGUAGCACAGAGAGCUUGCUCUCGGGUGACGAGCGGCGGACGGGUGAGUAAUGUCUGGGAAACUGCCUGAUGGAGGGGGAUAACUACUGGAAACGGUAGCUAAUACCGCAUAAUGUCGCAAGACCAAAGUGGGGGACCUUCGGGCCUCAUGCCAUCAGAUGUGCCCAGAUGGGAUUAGCUAGUAGGUGGGGUAACGGCUCACCUAGGCGACGAUCCCUAGCUGGUCUGAGAGGAUGACCAGCCACACUGGAACUGAGACACGGUCCAGACUCCUACGGGAGGCAGCAGUGGGGAAUAUUGCACAAUGGGCGCAAGCCUGAUGCAGCCAUGCCGCGUGUGUGAAGAAGGCCUUCGGGUUGUAAAGCACUUUCAGCGGGGAGGAAGGCGGUGAGGUUAAUAACCUCACCGAUUGACGUUACCCGCAGAAGAAGCACCGGCUAACUCCGUGCCAGCAGCCGCGGUAAUACGGAGGGUGCAAGCGUUAAUCGGAAUUACUGGGCGUAAAGCGCACGCAGGCGGUCUGUCAAGUCGGAUGUGAAAUCCCCGGGCUUAACCUGGGAACUGCAUUCGAAACUGGCAGGCUAGAGUCUUGUAGAGGGGGGUAGAAUUCCAGGUGUAGCGGUGAAAUGCGUAGAGAUCUGGAGGAAUACCGGUGGCGAAGGCGGCCCCCUGGACAAAGACUGACGCUCAGGUGCGAAAGCGUGGGGAGCAAACAGGAUUAGAUACCCUGGUAGUCCACGCCGUAAACGAUGUCGAUUUGGAGGUUGUGCCCUUGAGGCGUGGCUUCCGGAGCUAACGCGUUAAAUCGACCGCCUGGGGAGUACGGCCGCAAGGUUAAAACUCAAAUGAAUUGACGGGGGCCCGCACAAGCGGUGGAGCAUGUGGUUUAAUUCGAUGCAACGCGAAGAACCUUACCUGGUCUUGACAUCCACAGAACUU
rnacentral:rRNA from 1 species